UGAAGAAUAUUGCGCAAUGGGCGAAAGCCUGACGCAGCGACACCGCGUGAAGGAUGAAGGUCUUAGGAUUGUAAACUUCUGUUAAGUGGGAAGAAAGACCUUUCUUUAAUAGAGAGAGGGGAUGACGGUACCAUUAUAGAAAGCACCGGCUAACUUCGUGCCAGCAGCCGCGGUAAUACGAGGGGUGCAAACGUUAUUCGGAUUUAUUGGGCGUAAAGGGUGCGUAGACGGCACAUUAAGUCAACUGUUAAAUCUUCCGGCCUAACCGGAAGCCUGCAGUAGAUACUGGUGAGCUUGAGGAUGGAAGAGAGGAGUGGAAUUCUCGGAGUAGCGGUAAAAUGCGUAGAUCUCGAGAGGAACACCGAUGGCGAAGGCAGCUCCUUGGUCCAAUCCUGACGUUGAGGCACGAAAGCGUGGGUAGCAAACA
rnacentral:rRNA from 1 species